GUCCACACGGUAAACGAUGAAUACUCGCUGUUUGCGAUAUACUGCAAGCGGCCAAGCGAAAGCGUUAAGUAUUCCACCUGGGGAGUACGCCGGCAACGGUGAAACUCAAAGGAAUUGACGGGGGCCCGCACAAGCGGAGGAACAUGUGGUUUAAUUCGAUGAUACGCGAGGAACCUUACCCGGGCUUAAAUUGCAGAUGAAUUACGGUGAAAGCCGUAAGCCGCAAGGCAUCUGUGAAGGUGCUGCAUGGUU
rnacentral:rRNA from 1 species